rnacentral:rRNA from 1 species
UACGUAGGGGGCAAGCGUUGUCCGGAAUCAUUGGGCGUAAAGCGCGUGUAGGCGGCCAGCCAAGUCCGCUGUGAAAACUCGAGGCUCAACUUCGAGCUGUCGGUGGAAACUUUCUGGCUAGAGUCCGGAAGAGGAGAAUGGAAUUCCUGGUGUAGCGGUGAAAUGCGCAGAUAUCAGGAAGAACACCCGUGGCGAAGGCGGUUCUCUGGGACGGUACUGACGCUGAGACGCGAAAGCGUGGGGAGCGAACAGG